GACGAACGCUGGCGGCGUGCCUAAUACAUGCAAGUAGAACGCUGAAGAGAGGAGCUUGCUCUUCUUGGAUGAGUUGCGAACGGGUGAGUAACGCGUAGGUAACCUGCCUUGUAGCGGGGGAUAACUAUUGGAAACGAUAGCUAAUACCGCAUAACAAUGGAUGACACAUGUCAUUUAUUUGAAAGGGGCAAUUGCUCCACUACAAGAUGGACCUGCGUUGUAUUAGCUAGUAGGUGAGGUAAUGGCUCACCUAGGCGACGAUACAUAGCCGACCUGAGAGGGUGAUCGGCCACACUGGGACUGAGACACGGCCCAGACUCCUACGGGAGGCAGCAGUAGGGAAUCUUCGGCAAUGGGGGCAACCCUGACCGAGCAACGCCGCGUGAGUGAAGAAGGUUUUCGGAUCGUAAAGCUCUGUUGUAAGUCAAGAACGGGUGUGAGAGUGGAAAGUUCACACUGUGACGGUAGCUUACCAGAAAGGGACGGCUAACUACGUGCCAGCAGCCGCGGUAAUACGUAGGUCCCGAGCGUUGUCCGGAUUUAUUGGGCGUAAAGCGAGCGCAGGCGGUUUGAUAAGUCUGAAGUUAAAGGCUGUGGCUCAACCAUAGUUCGCUUUGGAAACUGUCAAACUUGAGUGCAGAAGGGGAGAGUGGAAUUCCAUGUGUAGCGGUGAAAUGCGUAGAUAUAUGGAGGAACACCGGUGGCGAAAGCGGCUCUCUGGUCUGUAACUGACGCUGAGGCUCGAAAGCGUGGGGAGCGAACAGGAUUAGAUACCCUGGUAGUCCACGCCGUAAACGAUGAGUGCUAGGUGUUGGAUCCUUUCCGGGAUUCAGUGCCGCAGCUAACGCAUUAAGCACUCCGCCUGGGGAGUACGACCGCAAGGUUGAAACUCAAAGGAAUUGACGGGGGCCCGCACAAGCGGUGGAGCAUGUGGUUUAAUUCGAAGCAACGCGAAGAACCUUACCAGGUCUUGACAUCCCGAUGCUAUUUCUAGAGAUAGAAAGUUACUUCGGUACAUCGGUGACAGGUGGUGCAUGGUUGUCGUCAGCUCGUGCCGUGAGAUGUUGGGUUAAGUCCCGCAACGAGCGCAACCCCUAUUGUUAGUUGCCAUCAUUCAGUUGGGCACUCUAGCGAGACUGCCGGUAAUAAACCGGAGGAAGGUGGGGAUGACGUCAAAUCAUCAUGCCCCUUAUGACCUGGGCUACACACGUGCUACAAUGGUUGGUACAACGAGUUGCGAGUCGGUGACGGCGAGCUAAUCUCUUAAAGCCAAUCUCAGUUCGGACUGUAGGCUGCAACUCGCCUACAUGAAGUCGGAAUCGCUAGUAAUCGCGGAUCAGCACGCCGCGGUGAAUACGUUCCCGGGCCU
rnacentral:rRNA from 1 species